rnacentral:sRNA from 1 species
GCUGGGCAUGGUUGUGCAUGCCUGUGAUUUCAGCAACUUGGGAGGCUGAGGCAGGAGGGUCACAAAUUGGAGGCCAGCCUCAGUAACUUAGUGAAGCCCUAACCAACUUAGUGAUAGCAAGACCCUGUCUCAA